AGACCAAAGAUAAUAUAGAAGACAGCGCGCUAGCGGAUCUAGUCUAUGAGUAUCAAUGGUCGGCACGACUGGUAGCAUCUCUGGCUGCUGUUGAUCUUGUCUUUGGAGUAAAACACGCUGAAUUAGUGAGGAUGACUCCUGCUCCUGUCAUCUCUAAGCUCCUCCCACAUCUUUACCUGCACAUGAGGAAAAUCACUCCUGUAGAAUGCAGAUGCACAAUGAGGGACGUCUGCAGAGACUGAGAAAGAGUCUCACCACAUCCUGACGUGAGGAAAAAGACUUUAUUGAAGACUACAAUGAGAAAAACUAUCAGACAGCAGACGGCUGCAUUCAAGAGAGGAAGACCAUCAAACAUCCACGUCAGCUGAUGGAGGUCCAAGAGUCUCACCAAACAACCAACCUACAGAGUGAAGACCUCAAAUCUGAUUGGACGGCCUCCUAUUCAGCCACAUGUCUGUUAACAGUUUAGGCUGUUAGAUUGUUCCAGAUAAGACGAGUACAAGAUUCUUCAGAGCCGUUCUACCAUGAGCCUGACAGGAAGAACUCCAACAACUACUGAAUGUUCCUGUGGUUCCCUCAAGGCUACAGGAG